CAGUAGCCGCGGUAAUACGAAGGGUGCAAGCGUUACUCGGAAUUACUGGGCGUAAAGCGUGCGUAGGUGGUGGUUUAAGUCCGUUGUGAAAGCCCUGGGCUCAACUUGGGAACCGCAUUUGAAACUGGCAAGCUAGAGUCUUGUAGAGGGGGGUAGAAUUCCAGGUGUAGCGGUGAAAUGCGUAGAGAUCGGGAGGAACAUCAGUGGCGAAGGCGGCCAUCUGGGACAACACUGACGCUGAGGCACGAAAGCGUGGGGAGCAAACAGGAUUAGAUACCCCUGUAGUCCCUGUCUCUUAUAC
rnacentral:rRNA from 1 species